rnacentral:rRNA from 1 species
ACUCCUACGGGAGGCAGCAGUAGGGAAUAUUGGUCAAUGGGCGAAAGCCUGAACCAGCCAUGCCGCGUGUCAGAUGAAGGUCCUCUGGAUUGUAAAUGACUUUUCUUACGGGUAAGAAUGAGCCGUCUGCGGACGGAAGUUGACGGUACCGUAGGAAUAAGCACCGGCUAACUACGUGCCAGCAGCCGCGGUAAUACGUAGGGGUGCAAGCGUUGUCCGGAUUUACUGGGUUUAAAGGGUACGUAGGCGGUUGUGCCAAGUCUGGGGUGAAAGUUUGCAGCUCAACUGUAAAAUUGCCUUGGAUACUGGUCGGCUAGAGUAGUGGAGCGGUGGCUGGAAUUUAUAGUGUAGCGGUGAAAUGCUUAGAUACUAUGAGGAACACCAAUUGCGAAGGCAGGUCACUGGUCACUAACUGACGCUGAGGUACGAAAGUGUGGGGAUCAAACAGGAUUAGAUACCCCUGGUAGGAUAGCG